ensembl:lncRNA
AGAAUUACAAUAGCUACUUCGCAUGUGAGCGCUGCACAGUUAAAGGCACCUAUGUGGGACGAGUUGUUCUUGGUGCUACAUCGCCUGGUGUUGUUGCAAGGUCUGAAGCAGAUUUCAGUAGACUUGCCUACAAAGACCAUCAAAUUGAGAAAUCCCCACUGACACUAGCUGGAAUUCCAUGUGUUCGGCCAUUUGCAUUGGACUACAUGCACUUGGUGUGUUUGGGUGUAGUUAGGAGAAUGCUUCACUACAUGCAGAGAGGACCCCACACAUGCAGACUGUCAUUUCAGCAAAGGAGUGACAUUUCAGAUAAACUAAAGGCAUUGAAUGGAGAACUACCUAGUGAGUUUGCACGGCAACCUAGGACUUUACUGGAAUUGGACAGAUGGAAGGCUACGGAACUUAGACAGUUUCUCCUUUAUACUGGACCAGUGGUUCUAAGAAAAGUGGUUUUACAUGCUGUAUACAAACACUUUCUUUCCUUGAUGUCACUCUGUUCUUCCUUUAAUGUGAUUGGUCAUGCAAGGAAUUCUGCCUAGCAACAAGAGAACAAAAGCACUGAUUGGUGGAUUAGAAAAUUCGUCCUUUUGGCCUCGUCUAUUCGGUUGCUGACACCAAAUUUCAAGACGGAAGUUUUUCUUCGUGUACUAUGUUGGGUGACAUGAGAUAAGAAGAUGUGGAAAUGUUUGCAUGUUCAACAGAAUUACGGACAAAAAUCUACAGCAGGAAUUCUAUGAAAACCUGGACAGACACAGUUCACGGUUCAUGGACCUUUUUACAACCAGAAGGGGGACUCCUGGUCAGCACUUGUUGAAGUUUUUACAGCAAAUAGAGAAUUUCAAGUUUCCCUCUAAAGUCAGACCAGCCAACUGAGGUCUGAACCCUUGUUCAUCCAGGACUGCCUAUCAUGCUCGGAGAUGAAGACUCUUCUUUCUUCAAGUCAUGUUUAGUGUCUGAUCAUUGCAACACUAUCCUUGAUGUGCCAAUGGGGCUCUUAUUCGAGGACACCGAUCUUCAGCCCCCCCAACUCCUUGCAUUUGACUUCUUCGAUUGGAAUAAUUCUUGAAGGCCAAGUGGUGAUGGACAAAAUGCAGGACCUCCCACAGGCAAUCUGUCUUCUCUUCGGUCUGAUUUAUGCACUAGACCUGAAUUACACAAAAUCACUUGCCAACUCAUUGAUUUCAUCCAGCAUGUACUAAUGACAAUGGGACAGAAUGCUCUCAAGCCUAGAGUGCAGUCUCUAGCAAACCAGCUUUUUGCUUAAGAAACGUCACUGUGGUACUUUAACACCACCCUCUGUUUUGGGUUUUUCCCCCAUCAAUUUACUCCAUUAUCCAUUUAUGAAGAAUAAAAAGUAUGUUUAAAUAGUUAAAUGCACAGAGUUCUACAACUGAUGUGCAGUAUUUAAUUUGGGAUAUUGUUACCAUUGUUACACCUCUGUAGUGUGGUUGUGACCCGGUAAUAUUUCCAUUACAGUAUAGUUUGUACUGUAAUAUUGUGACAUUUGGGCCAAAGAUAUGUUCAGUAUGUAUUAGUUUAGUUUGAUGUGUUUGCAGAAAGCUUAAAUGGUGAGCUGUAGUAAGACCGUAGUUCUUAUGUUUAGCCUACAUG